GUCGAUUCGCUUUUUACCACGAGCAAUUAUUAUGUGUUGCUUCAACUUCGACUUCAAUUUACUUGUAAUGAAUGUCAUUAGACUCUGACUAUUCUGAUUAAUAUUUAAUAUGUUAUGCGUGUGUUCAAACCCCUGAGGUUCAUCUGUCUCGCUCACGUCAAU
rnacentral:snRNA from 1 species